GUCACAAAAAGGUGGACUCAGAGGUCACAGAGUUGGACAGGUUACACAGAGGUCACAAGGUGGACUGAGAUCACGGAGAGCUGGACUGAGGUCACACACAGGUUAUGGAGAGGUCGACUGAGAGGUCACAUAGAGGUCAUCUAGGGGUGGAUUUAGGUCAUGCACAGGUCACGGAAAGGUGGACUGAGAGGUCAUGGAGAGGUGGACUGAGGUCACAGAGGUCACCUAGAGGUGAAUUGUCACACAGAGGUCAUGUUGAGGUGGACUGAGGUCACACACAGGUCAUCUAGAGGUGGAUUGAGGUCACACAGGUCAUUUAGAGGUGGACUGAGGUCACACAGUUCACGGAGAGGUGGGCUGAGGUCACACAGAGGUCAUGGGGAGGUGGACUGAGAGGUCACCUAGAGGUGGAUUGAAGUCACACAGAGGUAACCUAGAGGUGGACUGAGGUCACACAGGUCAUCUAGAGAUGGAUUGAGGUCACAUGGAGGUCACGGGGAGGUGAACUGAGGUCACAGAGAGGUCAUGUAGAGGUGGAUUGAGG
rnacentral:lncRNA from 1 species